AUAUUGCAGUUUUUAUGUGCCAUUUCGCUGCCUUUUAUUACAUUCACUUAUACGUUAAUCGGUGGUGUACCAUUCUGGGGACCAGUCUUUUACAUCCUCGCUGGAUCACUGUCAAUUGCAGCUCAGAGAAACAACGAGGUCUGCCUGGUCAAAGGCUCACUGGCCUUUACUAUCAUCUCAUCAUUUACCAGUUUCAUUGGAAUAGUCCUAAACAUCAUAGAUUUUGCUUUUAUGAAUGAUAACUGUUAUGAUGAUUAUGGAUACUAUG